CAGCAGUGGACCAUAUCCCUGUGAUAGCUGCUGUUGUUGGAGUGGCAGUCUGUGGAGUUGUGGGUCUCCUCUGUGUCAUAUACUGGCUGAGAUUACAUAAGGGGACCACCAGCAGGGGACCACAGAGAGGAGACACAGAGGGUCAGGAUGAUGUUCAGUACUCAAAUGUUAACUUCCAGAGGUCUGGUCAGAGCAGAGCUGCUGGUCCCUCCACUGCUGAGACUGCAGAGGAUGAUGUUCAGUACUCCACCAUCCAGCCCCACGGCUCCAGAGAGACUGCAGGAGCUCAGGGGGACGACGUCCACUACGCCAGCGUCCACUUCAAGAAAGAUGCUGCUGC